UAAUCUCAUUUACACUUGAAAGACAUACAGUGGGCCUUGAGUUACGAGUGUCCCGACGAUCGAGUUUUUUGAUACCAGCUGUCUCUCCAUGGAUUUUUUGCAUUGAGUUGAUAGAGUAAUUUGAGUUAACUAGC